AAAAAAAAUAAUUUUGUUAUCUUGUAUCGAUAAUCCUCUAUAAAAGGAUCUCAUCUUUUCUUAUUAGGGGCAGAUUUUUAGAAAUCAUCUCUCUCAAGUACCCCUUUGCUUCCUUUGUAACAUAAUCAUCUAUGAAUAAGGCUUUUGUAAAUUUCAGAAGGCACUGGUAACACCCAUUUGUCUUAAGGAGCCCGCCUGAAGAAUAGGGUGAUAAAAUUGGAAGUCAGGAGCCCGCCUGAAGAACGGGGUGAUGAAAUUAAAAGUCAGGAGCCCGCAAUAAGUGAUGAAAUUUUAAGUCAGGAGCCCGCCUGAAGAACAAGGUGAUGAAAAUUGAAAGUCAGGAGCCCACUUGAAGAACAGGGUGAUAAAAUUACAAGUCAGGAGCCCGCCUGAAGAACAGGGUGAUGAAAUGGCAAGUCAGGAGGUCGCAUGAAGAAUGGGGUGAUGAAAUUGAAAGUCAAGUAACAAGGUUAAGAGAUUGAAAGUCAAGCAACAAGGUCAAGAAGUUGAAAGUCAAACAACAAGGUGAAGAAGUUGAAAGUCAAACAACAAGUUGAAGAAAUUGAAGGCCAAACAACAAGUUGAAGAAAUUGCAAGUCAGGAGCCCGCCUGAAGAAUAGGGUGAUGAAACUCAAGUCAAGAGUCCAAAAGAAGCUGCAUAGGUAGGAUUUUUGUAUUUUCAUUUAUGUUUUGACUUGUAAUUUUUAUUUUUGAUGUAAUGACAGAGCAGCGGAUUGGAACCUCGAUGAACUUCACUCGACUCUCCAACUUGGUAUAGUCCCUCUCUUUCCAACCCUUUGAGAUACCUAUGACUUGAUUGCCUCACAACUUGGGUAAGUAGGAGUGUCUUAAGUCAAGAUGUAGUUGUCUUUCUUCCUUCUGUUUAAUUCUUUUUGAAUGAUAAUUGGGACAAAUUUUUGUCUCGUUGUCUACUUCUUUGUCUGAAAACACUUCAUGUUUACAUUCAAAGGGGGCAUAUUGUAGAUACCUAAUUUUGUCCCUCCUAAGUCCAAUUUUAUUUAUUUUAGCUCACCUUACCACACACCCUCAUCUAUGUGAUUAUAUCCCACAAAAAUACAAAAAAUAACAAUCCUUAACAUAAUCCCUAACAAAUUCUAUCUUGUUUAAUCCUAUCCUAACCAACUUUACACCUCAUCCUAAUAACCCACCCCACCCCCUACUCACCACCACAUACCCUCAAUUCCCCUACCCCUCACGUCUUAUUCAAGAUGGAACCAAUUCAUAAAGACACAAAAUAGAAGAGGGCCCACUUGAAAGAUGUUUUUUGAUCUUUUUCCAUUUUUCAUAAAGGAGAACAAAAAUACACUCAAAAAGACUCCAUUUUCUUUUGGGGCCCACACGAUAUUCCUUUUUCUUAUUUUCUUUCCAAAUUAAUAGAGGGCCCCACAUGGAAUAUAGACUCCUCCAUUUUUUUUCAAUACAAAUACUCACCAUCAUCACACAAUACAGAAAAAAAUAGAGGAGACACCAUCUUCUUCCAUAGAUAAAAUCGUAUACCAUCUUCUCUACGAGAUUCCACAUAGUAACAUUCUCACCAUUUUUUACCACUUUUAGAGAAAACAUGCACUCAUAGUGAGAUCAAAAUAGAGAGAGAGGAGAGAGGGAAUUGAAGAGAGACAUCAAGUGAGAAGAGAAAGAUUGAGAUUGAGAGGGAGAGAUAGAGAUCGACAUCAAGAGGGAGAAAUCGGCUGAGAGAGACGGCGAGAGAGGAAAGAUGAGUAAAAAUCAGUGAUCCAUCACUGAUGUCGUCACUGUUUCGGCAUCGUGACUCUCAUCAGAGCUUCGAAUAGGCCCGUUAGGACCCAACGGACUGCUUUGGUCGAACCAUUACCGGACAACGAAGUCCGGCAAACUGAAAACUAGUUUUGUCUUCUCAAUCCCGAUCAAAAUCGAUCUUUUUGGGUCAGUUCUGGCAAGAUUAUGCCGGAAUAACAUUGAAAUCAGAUCCACCAGUUGUAGAUCGGUGAAACCCGAUCCAAAAUCCAUUAAAAACGCGAUCCUAUUUCAGUUUUUCCAGCGUUUCCAGCAAAGUUUGGUGGAAAUUGUGUUUGGGUUUCUCGGUUUCAUAAGUUCCAUCUUGGUUUUUUUGAUUCCAUCAUCGUCAAAUCUGUUCGAGUCGUAGUUUUUAAUAUCGAGUCUGAGUUUAGUCGUAUUGAGGCUGAGUAGAGGUUCAUGGAUGUGGAUUCUGUCUCUCUACCCGAGUAAUACUAAAUAUCAAAAACUUCUUUCGAGGUCCAA